AUGGUAACCACUAGCCACUUGUGACUACUGAGUGUCUGAAAGAGAUGGGCUCUCACUAUAGCCCUGUUCUGGAACUCCUGGGCUCAAGCCAUCCUCCCACUUUGGCCUCCCCAAAAUGCUGGGAUUACAGGCGUGAACCACCGCAUCUAGCCUAAAAUUAUAUUGUUAAAAGACUUUGUUUCUCAGUUUGGGAUAAUCAGAAUUCAUAGUUCUGAUCUCGACUACCAGUUUUAAUGAGGUACUUCUUUCUAACUCCAUCAGCUGUGUGGCUAUCUGCAGAUACCACCCACAUAAACAAAAACUUUUUGGGAGUCCUCCAGAAUUUUUAAGAGUUAUCUAAACUAUUGCCUUUAAUGACCAGGAACUCCAAUUUGAGAAGUUACCCUACGUUAAGCCAACAGCAGCCUGGCUCCUUCAUCCUGUGCAGUAUGGGACAGAGCUGGGUCCUUGUUGUCAUCAGCCAGACAAGCACACAUUAAAGCCCACCUUAGCCAUUGGCAUUACAGCUUUAAAAGCAGCUCCAUCCUACCAUGCUGUCACUCUACUCAAUCACGUGAUCUUAACGACCAGCUCUACAUAUCCUCUCUCCAUGCCCCCACCACCAUCCCCCACCAACAAAUCCGGUAAUCUAUCUCUGUCAAUAGUCCUGCAGUGAAUUCCGAAUAAGUUUUUCUCUUCCCUGGCCUGCCGUUUACGUAGUACCCUGGAUGAAUCUAUACUUACUCCAUAGUAAGUAGUACCUUGGAUGAAUCUAUACUUGCAUCCAAUGGAAAUGAGAGUGAUGGUGCAGAGUUAUCCGAAGUAACUCCAGCUAUGUUGUGGAUCUUCUAAUCAUGGGCUCAUCUAAGCCUUCCCAGAUAUCACUCUAGUUUUUACAAUCUUUGUUUAUGACAAUUAGGGCUGUAACAUUGGCUGUAGACAUUUGUUGCAUCAAGGAACUCAGCUUCCACUGAAGUUCUGAAGUUAAUCAGUUUCUGAUCUUGUUCUGCAACUCUCUGCAAGAAGAAAAAUCACCAGGAAAUAGUGCAUCCUGAAAGGAGUCAAAGUUUCCUUAUCCAGCUGGAGCAGUGUGAUCUCGGACCAGAGUCAAUUCCUUGCCCAACAGACUUCACAUUGAGCCAUGAGAAGCAGCCUACUUACCCUUACCUGGACACUUCUCCAAAACCUGUGAAAUGGCCUCUGUCACUGCCUCAAAGCCUCAUCCUUGGUGGGCAACUCACCUGGAUCCUGAGACCAAAAUAUAGAGCUUAAUGAACUGC
rnacentral:lncRNA from 1 species